UACGUAGGGUGCAAGCGUUGUCCGGAAUUAUUGGGCGUAAAGAGCUCGUAGGCGGUCCGUCACGUCGGCUGUGAAAACCCGAGGCUCAACCUCGGGCCUGCAGUGGGUACGGGCAGACUAGAGUGCGGUAGGGGAGAUUGGAAUUCCUGGUGUAGCGGUGGAAUGCGCAGAUAUCAGGAGGAACACCAAUGGCGAAGGCAGAUCUCUGGGCCGUAACUGACGCUGAGGAGCGAAAGCAUGGGGAGCGAACAGG
rnacentral:rRNA from 1 species